GGUCUCCGUUGGUGAACCAGCGGAGGGAUCAUUACAGAGUUAUCCAACUCCCAAACCCAUGUGAACUUAUCUCUUUGUUGCCUCGGCGCAAGCUACCCGGGACCUCGCGCCCCGGGCGGCCCGCCGGCGGACAAACCAAACUCUGUUAUCUUAGUUGAUUAUCUGAGUGUCUUAUUUAAUAAGUCAAAACUUUCAACAACGGAUCUCUUGGUUCUGGCAUCGAUGAAGAACGCAGCGAAAUGCGAUAAGUAAUGUGAAUUGCAGAAUUCAGUGAAUCAUCGAAUCUUUGAACGCACAUUGCGCCCAUUAGUAUUCUAGUGGGCAUGCCUGUUCGAGCGUCAUUUCAACCCCAAAGCACAGCUAAUUGUUGGGCCCUACAUUUCGUAGUGCCUCCAGACGUUGGCGGAGUGGCAGUAGUCCUCUGAGCGUAGUAAUUCUUUAUCUCGCUUUUGUUAGGUGCUGCCCCCCCGGCUGUAAUACCCCCUAUUUGUUCUGGUUGACCUCGGAUCAAGUAAGAAUACCCGCUGAACUUAACCAU
rnacentral:rRNA from 1 species